rnacentral:lncRNA from 1 species
UUCUUCCUACAGGUCUUCACAUAACACCUCUGAUCCUUCUUCAACAAGAUGUUGAAGAUGUACAUAGAGAUGGCAAGGAAAAGAUCUUUCUCUGGGCAAGGAUUGGACAAGAUGGGGUUAACAUGGCAAGAAUCUGAGAAUACUCAGUUUGCUGAGAGCCAAGACCACCUGUCACCCUACAGAGAGGAAGAGAUGAGGAGAGAAGUCCUACAGGUGACGAGGACCUUCUCAAACACAAUGUCUGUGAAGCCACUUCCAUCCACUCCAGUUACCAACCAGGUGAAACUUUGAUUCUCUGCCUCUGCCUCUGGGAUCAUCCAAUCGCCUGUCUGUACCUCCCCCUCAAUCCAGCAAAGGAGGCUUCUGCAGCCACGGGAGCAUGUUUGCAGCCCCCUGGGUGGAGGUGGACUCUUUAGCUGGAAGGCAUGGAUGCCACAGUGCCUGGGAAGGGGUGAGUCCCCCACUGCCAGCCAGUUCCUUGUCUUUAAUUACACUGAAUUGACACACACCCCUGUACAAGGACGCCCUCAUGCACACAUACUGUACACAGGUGCAGAUAAGCAUACACAUACGCAUGCCCAUCCCAAACUGAAGUCCACAGAGGUAUACACCCAAAACACGUGAAAGAAGAGUAGCUUUCAUCUUAAGUGCUUACACUAUGUGGGGCAACGUUCAAAGGGUCGCUUCAUUGAAUCCUCACAAGAACCUUUUAAGAUAGGUGUCAUCUUGAUCUCACAGAUAAGAAAACCCAUGCACGUUUCCCAGCUGUAAGUGGUGGAGCCAAUAUUCUAGCACGUCUCUGGGGUCUGUAUUCUCAACCAUAGCCCUCCGGCUGCCCACCAUUAUGCACACCACCCCCAGCACAUGACCCCCACACCCGGUGCCCCACACCUGCUCUAGAUAAGCGUGGGCAUAGACACACGGGUGACUGAACGCAUGGGCUCUGGGGUGAUGCCAAGUCUGGGUGUUCACUGUUUCUUCUAGUCCCUCCCUGGCAGGGGAAUGACAGCACCUUUGGAUGCCUCUCAGGGCCCCCGCCUGUCCUCAGACCCUGGAGCCCCAGCAUUGCUCAUUUGUCUCAUUCAAAUGCAGGCAAAUUGCUGAGGUGAGUUAAGUCUUUGCUCGGGCUUCUCAGCCAUAGGC